CUGUGGAGCUGGGUGCCCCCUGGUGGCCGCAGUGUUGACUUAGGUUUUAGGCUAGCUUUCCCAGCCUAUGUCCGCGUGCCAGAGGAGGCCAGCUGGUCUCAUCACUGCUCGUCUGGGAGAACGUACUCAGCUUGGACCUUCGGGUGACCAUGCUGAAGGAGAGCCCAGAGCAUCAUGAUAAAGCAACUGAGCAGCUGCUGAGGAGGUUCGGGAGAGGUGGCUCCGUAGGGGCUCCUGUGGUUUGCUCCCAGAAACUGCGACAAUGACACAUUCAUCAGUGGCUGUUUUGUAGCCCUCACCUGGCAUCUUUGGCAGAGAUGGAUUCCCCUACUCAGUGAGUGAGGGACUCUGAGGAGGUUGGCCUAGAAGAAGGAAAGAGAUCUGUGCAAGUCAUCAAGUCUCCAGUGUCACGAAUAACUGGUUUCUGUGCAAAACUCUAUGUUGGGAGGGCUGCAUCUGGGUGAGAAUGCAUUACACCUGGAUUUCUGAAUCUGCAAAUUGAGAACAAUAGCAAUCCGUACUUCACCCGGUUAUUUUGCAAAUACAACAUAGGCG
rnacentral:lncRNA from 1 species